CAGCACUUACAGGUUUUGAUAUUUGAUAAGUAUUCAUUCACGUACAAAGCCUGGUUUAAAGCUUUGGUUUCUUCCAGGUGGCUUUGGUGGCAGCCGUGGUGGUGGUGGAUAUGGUGGCAGUGGGGAUGGCUAUAAUGGAUUUGGCAAUGAUGGAAGCAAUUUUGGAGGUGGUGGAAGCUACAAUGAUUUUGGCAAUUACAACAACCAGUCAUCAAAUUUUGGACCGAUGAAAGGAGGAAACUUUGGAGGCAGGAGCUCUGGCCCUUAUGGUGGUGGAGGCCAGUACUUUGCUAAACCACGAAACCAAGGUGGCUAUGGAGGUUCCAGCAGCAGCAGUAGCUAUGGCAGUGGCAGGAGGUUCUAAUUACAGCCAGGUAAGUGCCUCCUUUGUGUGUGUUCACAAAAUUUUAUAAUUGAACCCAGUAACCCAAAUGUAGCUGAGCAGUGCAACAUAGUUAACAUUAUAACUGCAGUAAAAUGGUGGAUAUUAAGUUAAUAUGCAGUUCAGCAAAAUUUGUGGGAAACAAC
rnacentral:lncRNA from 1 species